CAAUCGAAACUCCGUCAUCUUUAGAUCACAACCCCAUUGAAAGAUCUUCCAUACAAGAUGUUUCAACCAACGAAAUGGCAUUGGAUCCCGUAAUGAAUGAUUCGACUGAGCCGAUGCAGGAUGAACCAAUACAAGAUGAUCGCACCCUCGAAACGACUAGCUGCAAAUUUAACUUUUCAGAAGUUACCUUAAGCUGAACUGACAACAUUUUUCCGAUGCUAAAUGAAAUUAUCCGGUGAGCGACGUUGCCGAAAACACGCUGAACGCGCUCGGACAGUGUAGAGGGGAUUUGGCACCGUCGCAGCAAAAAUAAUAC